GUAAAACAAUGGAUUAUCACUCAACUGUUCCUUGUUAAAUGCAGGUACAGAUAGAUGAGGAGAGGAAGGCCUCCACUAAAUUGAGUAGUCUCAGAGGGUUCGCUCAUAGAAGAUAUUGACCGGAUAUUUGAGAUGCUGGAAAGAUUCAUUGCUAUCAAGCAGGGCUGGAAGGAAAGGAGGGAGCUACCCAAUCCUCCCCCGCUGCCACAAGCGAAGCCACUCCUGCAACGAGAGGAUCCCGAGCCACCUCAGUACGACCAUGUUCCUCCAUAGUACCACCCGACACCACCACAGUAUGAUCAGGUGCACCAGCCACAGUACCACCCGGCACCAUCACAGUACAAUCUGGUGCCCCCCACCAUAUCAGC
rnacentral:lncRNA from 1 species